GGGGCCAUAGCUCAACUGGGAGAGCGCCUGCCUUGCAAGCAGGAGGUCGUGGGUUCGAGUCCCUCUGGCUCCACCA
rnacentral:tRNA from 1 species